rnacentral:rRNA from 1 species
GAUGAACGCUGGCGGCGUGCCUAAUACAUGCAAGUCGAGCGAACAGACGAGGAGCUUACUCCUCUGACGUUAGCGGCGGACGGGUGAGUAACACGUGGAUAACCUACCUAUAAGACUGGGAUAACUUCGGGAAACCGGAGCUAAUACCGGAUAACAUGUUGAACCGCAUGGUUCAACAGUGAAAGACGGUCUUGCUGUCACUUAUAGAUGGAUCCGCGUCGCAUUAGCUAGUUGGUAAGGUAACGGCUUACCAAGGCAACGAUGCGUAGCCGACCUGAGAGGGUGAUCGGCCACACUGGAACUGAGACACGGUCCAGACUCCUACGGGAGGCAGCAGUAGGGAAGCUUCCGCAAUGGGCGAAAGCCUGACGGAGCAACGCCGCGUGAGUGAAGAAGGUCUUCGGAUCGUAAAACUCUGUUAUUAGGGAAGAACAAAUGUGUAAGUAACUAUGCACGUCUUGACGGUACCUAAUCAGAAAGCCACGGCUAACUACGUG